AACAGGAUUAGAUACCCUGGUAGUCCACGCCGUAAACGAUGUCGACUUGGAGGCUGUUCCCUUGAGGAGUGGCUUCCGGAGCUAACGCGUUAAGUCGACCGCCUGGGGAGUACGGCCGCAAGGUUAAAACUCAAAUGAAUUGACGGGGGCCCGCACAAGCGGUGGAGCAUGUGGUUUAAUUCGAUGCAACGCGAAGAACCUUACCUACUCUUGACAUCCAGAGAAUUUAGCAGAGAUGCUUUAGUGCCUUCGGGAACUCUGAGACAGGUGCUGCAUGGCUGUCGUCAGCUCGUGUUGUGAAAUGUUGGGUUAAGUCCCGCAACGAGCGCAACCCUUAUCCUUUGUUGCCAGCGCGUAAUGGCGGGAACUCAAAGGAGACUGCCGGUGAUAAACCGGAGGAAGGUGGGGAUGACGUCAAGUCAUCAUGGCCCUUACGAGUAGGGCUACACACGUGCUACAACGGCGCAUACAAAGAGAAGCGACCUCGCGAGAGCAAGCGGACCCCAUAAAGUGCGUCGUAGUCCGGAUUGGAGUCUGCAACUCGACUCCAUGAAGUCGGAAUCGCUAGUAAUCGUAAAUCAGAAUGUUACGGUGAAUACGUUCCCGGGCCUUGUACACACCGCCCGUCACACCAUGGGAGUGGGUUGCAAAAGAAGUAGAUAGCUUAACCUUCGGGAGGGCGUUUACCACUUUGUGAUUCAUGACUGGGGUGAAGUCGUAACAAGGUAACCGUAGGGGAACCUGCGGCUGGAUCACCUCCUU
rnacentral:rRNA from 1 species